CUCAGGACGAACGCUGGCGGCGUGCCUAAUACAUGCAAGUCGAACGAACUCUGGUAUUGAUUGGUGCUUGCAUCAUGAUUUACAUUUGAGUGAGUGGCGAACUGGUGAGUAACACGUGGGAAACCUGCCCAGAAGCGGGGGAUAACACCUGGAAACAGAUGCUAAUACCGCAUAACAACUUGGACCGCAUGGUCCGAGUUUGAAAGAUGGCUUCGGCUAUCACUUUUGGAUGGUCCCGCGGCGUAUUAGCUAGAUGGUGGGGUAACGGCUCACCAUGGCAAUGAUACGUAGCCGACCUGAGAGGGUAAUCGGCCACAUUGGGACUGAGACACGGCCCAAACUCCUACGGGAGGCAGCAGUAGGGAAUCUUCCACAAUGGACGAAAGUCUGAUGGAGCAACGCCGCGUGAGUGAAGAAGGGUUUCGGCUCGUAAAACUCUGUUGUUAAAGAAGAACAUAUCUGAGAGUAACUGUUCAGGUAUUGACGGUAUUUAACCAGAAAGCCACGGCUAACUACGUGCCAGCAGCCGCGGUAAUACGUAGGUGGCAAGCGUUGUCCGGAUUUAUUGGGCGUAAAGCGAGCGCAGGCGGUUUUUUAAGUCUGAUGUGAAAGCCUUCGGCUCAACCGAAGAAGUGCAUCGGAAACUGGGAAACUUGAGUGCAGAAGAGGACAGUGGAACUCCAUGUGUAGCGGUGAAAUGCGUAGAUAUAUGGAAGAACACCAGUGGCGAAGGCGGCUGUCUGGUCUGUAACUGACGCUGAGGCUCGAAAGUAUGGGUAGCAAACAGGAUUAGAUACCCUGGUAGUCCAUACCGUAAACGAUGAAUGCUAAGUGUUGGAGGGUUUCCGCCCUUCAGUGCUGCAGCUAACGCAUUAAGCAUUCCGCCUGGGGAGUACGGCCGCAAGGCUGAAACUCAAAGGAAUUGACGGGGGCCCGCACAAGCGGUGGAGCAUGUGGUUUAAUUCGAAGCUACGCGAAGAACCUUACCAGGUCUUGACAUACUAUGCAAAUCUAAGAGAUUAGACGUUCCCUUCGGGGACAUGGAUACAGGUGGUGCAUGGUUGUCGUCAGCUCGUGUCGUGAGAUGUUGGGUUAAGUCCCGCAACGAGCGCAACCCUUAUUAUCAGUUGCCAGCAUUAAGUUGGGCACUCUGGUGAGACUGCCGGUGACAAACCGGAGGAAGGUGGGGAUGACGUCAAAUCAUCAUGCCCCUUAUGACCUGGGCUACACACGUGCUACAAUGGAUGGUACAACGAGUUGCGAACUCGCGAGAGUAAGCUAAUCUCUUAAAGCCAUUCUCAGUUCGGAUUGUAGGCUGCAACUCGCCUACAUGAAGUCGGAAUCGCUAGUAAUCGCGGAUCAGCAUGC
rnacentral:rRNA from 2 species